UACAGGGGUGGCAAGCGUUACUCGGAAUUAUUGGGUGUAAAGGGCAGGUAGGUGGUCUUGUAAGUGAGGGGUGAAAUCCCACGGUUCAAUCGUGGAACUGCCUUUCAAACUGCAGGACUUGAGAGUGUUAGGGGGGAAUGGAAUUCCCGGUGUAAGGGUGAAAUCUGUAGAUAUCGGGAAGAACACCAACAGCGAAGGCAAUUCCCUGGGACACUUCUGACGCUGAACUGCGAAAGCUAGGGGAGCAAACAGA
rnacentral:rRNA from 1 species